UACGAAGGAUCCAAGCGUUAUCCGGAUUUAUUGGGUUUAAAGGGUGCGUAGGCGGACUUGUAAGUCAGUGGUGAAAUCUCUUCGCUUAACGAAGAAACUGCCAUUGAUACUGCAGGUCUAGAGUAUAGAUGACGUUGGCGGAAUAUGACAUGUAGUGGUGAAAUACUUAGAUAUGUCAUAGAACACCGAUUGCGAAGGCAGCUAACGAAACUAUAACUGACGCUGAGGCACGAAAGUGCGGGGAUCAAACAGG
rnacentral:rRNA from 1 species